rnacentral:rRNA from 1 species
ACUCAAAGGAAUUGACGGGGGCUCACACAAGCGGUGGAGGAUGUGGCUUAAUUCGAGGCUACGCGAAGAACCUUAUCCUAGUCUUGACAUGCUUAGGAAUCCUCCUGAAAGGGAGGAGUGCUCGCAAGAGAGCCUUUGCACAGGUGCUGCAUGGCUGUCGUCAGCUCGUGUCGUGAGAUGUCGCGUUAAGUCGCUUAACGAGCGAAACCCUUGUCGUUAGUUGCCAGCGCGUUAUGGCGGGGACUCUAACGAGACUGCCGGUGUUAAACCGGAGGAAGGUGGGGAUGACGUCAAGUCCUCAUGGCCUUUAUGAUUAGGGCUGCACACGUCCUACAAUGGACCACACAAAGGGAUGCCAACUCGUGAGAGGGAGCAAAUCCCAAAAAAUGGUCCCCAGUACGGAUUGCAGGCUGAAACCCGCCUGCAUGAAGCCGGAAUCGCUAGUAAUCGCGGGUCAGCAUACCGCGGUGAAUAUGUUCCUGAGCCUUGUACACACCGCCCGU